rnacentral:misc_RNA from 1 species
UCCGGUUUGGCACCGGCAGUCCCCCGAGAGUCCUCAGCAGUUUGCACCCUGUUAGCAACACGGGGCGGGGGUUGCGCUCGUUGCGGGACUUAACCCAACAUCUCACGACACGAGCUGACGACAGCCAUGCAGCACCUGUGUCCAGGUUCCCUUUCGGGCACCCCCGCAUCUCUGCAGGGUUCCUGGCAUGUCAAGGGUAGGUAAGGUUCUUCGCGUUGCAUCGAAUUAAUCCACAUAAUCCACCGCUUGUGCGGGUCCCCGUCAAUUCCUUUGAGUUUUAAUCUUGCGACCGUACUCCCCAGGCGGGGUGCUUAAUGCGUUAGCUUCGGCACGGACGGGGUCGAUAUCCGCCCACACCUAGCACCCAACGUUUACGGCUAAGACUAC